rnacentral:rRNA from 1 species
CGUAGGUGAACCUGCGGAAGGAUCAUUACCGAGUGUAGGGUUCCUAGCGAGCCCAACCUCCCACCCGUGUUUACUGUAGCUUASUUGCUUCGGCGGGCCCUCCGUUCAUGGCCGCMGGGGGCUCUCAGCCCCGGGCCCGCGCCCGCCGGAGACACCACGAACUCUGUCUGAUCUAGUGAAGUCUGAGUUGAUUGUAUCGCAAUCAGUUAAAACUUUCAACAAUGGAUCUCUUGGUUCCGGCAUCGAUGAAGAACGCAGCGAAAUGCGAUAACUAGUGUGAAUUGCAGAAUUCCGUGAAUCAUCGAGUCUUUGAACGCACAUUGCGCCCCCUGGUAUUCCGGGGGGCAUGCCUGUCCGAGCGUCAUUGCUGCCCAUCAAGCACGGCUUGUGUGUUGGGUCGUCGUCCCUSUCCGGGGGGGACGGGCCCCAAAGGCAGCGGCGGCACCGCGUCCGAUCCUCGAGCGUAUGGGGCUUUGUCACCCGCUCUGUAGGCCCGGCCGGCGCUUGCCGAACGCAACUCAAUCUUUUUAACCAGGUUGACCUCGGAUCAGGUAGGGAUACCCGCUGAACUUAAGCAUAUCAAUAAGCGGAGGAAAAGAAACCAACCGGGAUUGCCUCAGUAACUGCG